rfam:Triticum aestivum genome assembly, contig: Triticum_aestivum_CS42_TGACv1_scaffold_404126_5BL
CUUGUACUCCCUCGGCCCGGAAAUACUUGCCGGGAAAAUGGAUGUGUGGUACUAGAUACAUCCAUUUUUAUUCAUUUCUCCGACAAGUAUUUUCGGACAGAGGGAGUAUAUG